GCGGGGCGCGAGCCCGCCGAGGUCGCUGGCGGCGUGAGGAGGACGAUUAGCAAUAAUUGUUUUCUAAUUGAUGGUGGAGUUAGAGGGCUGGGAAGAGACAAGGCACUGGAGAGAUGUCUGGGGACUGAGAGGGAAAACCAUGUGUGUGGGUGCAUUCCCUCAGUUACUAUUUUCCAGGUUUUCGAGUCGCCCUCAUAGUGGACCGGCUGAUGUCUUUCUUCAACAGUUCUUCCAUGGACUGUAAUCCAAGAAACUCCUGUUGCCUCAGCCUUUCG